rnacentral:rRNA from 1 species
GAUGAACGCUAGCGGCAGGCUUAACACAUGCAAGUCGAGGGGUAUAGUUCUUCGGAGCUAGAGACCGGCGCACGGGUGCGUAACGCGUAUGCAAUCUACCUUUACAGAGGGAUAGCCCAGAGAAAUUUGGAUUAAUACCUCAUAGUAUAAUACCUUGGCAUCAAGGAAUUAUUAAAGUCACAACGGUGAAAGAUGAGCAUGCGUCCCAUUAGCUAGUUGGUAUGGUAACGGCAUACCAAGGCGACGAUGGGUAGGGGUCCUGAGAGGGAGAUCCCCCACACUGGUACUGAGACACGGACCAGACUCCUACGGGAGGCAGCAGUGAGGAAUAUUGGACAAUGGGCGCAAGCCUGAUCCAGCCAUGCCGCGUGCAGGAUGACGGUCC